rnacentral:rRNA from 1 species
UGGGAACGUACCCUUUGGUUCGGAACAACCCAGGGAAACUUGGGCUAAUACCGGAUACGUCCGUAAGGAGAAAGAUUUAUCGCCAAAGGAUCGGCCCGCGCCUGAUUAGCUUGUUGGUGAGGUAACGGCUCACCAAGGCGACGAUCAGUGGCUGGCCUGAGAGGAUGAUCAGCCACAUUGGGACUGAGACACGGCCCAAACUCCUACGGGAGGCAG